rnacentral:rRNA from 1 species
AGCUCUUCUAGCAUAUAUUAAAGUUGCUGCAGUUAAAACGCUCGUAGUUUGAAUUAUUUCGGUGUCAGGCUGGCUGGAAAAUUUAAUUUUUCAAGCUGUCUGGUGCCGAAUUAAAGUUUGGGUAGAGCAGAUUAAUUUCUCUCUAUCCAUUUAACCUUGAAAAAACAUUGUCGCUCAAAAAAGGACGGAAAAGUCUAUUGAGAUUUCAGCAUGGGAUUAUGAAAAAAGGGGGGCGGGUGCGAAAGGGGGUAAAAGCCCGAUUGGCUCGUUUCCAAUGGUUAAUGAGGACGAUGCGUGGGAGUUCAUAUUAAUAAGUCAGAGGUGAAAUUCUUGGAUUUUAUUAAGAUGAACAUCAGCGAAGGCGUUCUUCAAGUGCGUGCCUG